rnacentral:rRNA from 1 species
GUGAGGAAUAUUGGUCAAUGGGCGAGAGCCUGAACCAGCCAAGUCGCGUGAAGGAAGAAGGAUCUAUGGUUCGUAAACUUCUUUUGCAGGGGAAUUAAGUGCAGGACGUGUCCUGUUUUGUAUGUACCCUGAGAAUAAGGAUCGGCUAACUCCGUGCCAGCAGCCGCGGUAAUACGGAGGAUCCGAGCGUUAUCCGGAUUUAUUGGGUUUAAAGGGUGCGUAGGUGGUUUGAUAAGUCAGCGGUGAAAGUUUGCAGCUUAACUGUAAAAAUGCCGUUGAAACUGUCGGACUUGAGUGUAAAUGAGGUAGGCGGAAUGCGUGGUGUAGCGGUGAAAUGCAUAGAUAUCACGCAGAACUCCGAUUGCGAAGGCAGCUUACUAAGCUACAACUGACACUGAAGCACGAAAGCGUGGGGAUCAAACAGGAUUAGAAACCCCGGUAGUCC